AUUGAACGCUGGCGGCAUGCCUUACACAUGCAAGUCGAACGGCAGCACGGGAGCAAUCCUGGUGGCGAGUGGCGAACGGGUGAGUAAUGUAUCGGAACGUGCCCAGUCGUGGGGGAUAACGUAGCGAAAGCUACGCUAAUACCGCAUACGAGCUAUGGAAGAAAGCGGGGGAUCGCAAGACCUCGCGCGAUUGGAGCGGCCGAUAUCAGAUUAGGUAGUUGGUGGGGUAAAGGCUCACCAAGCCGACGAUCUGUAGCUGGUCUGAGAGGACGACCAGCCACACUGGAACUGAGACACGGUCCAGACUCCUACGGGAGGCAGCAGUGGGGAAUUUUGGACAAUAGACGCAAGUCUGAUCCAGCAAUGCCGCGUGCAGGACGAAGGCCUUCGGGUUGAAAACUGCUUUUGUACGGAACGAAACGGUGAGCUCUAAUACAGUUUGCUAAUGACGGUACCGUAAGAAUAAGCACCGGCUAACUACGUGCCAGCAGCCGCAGUAA
rnacentral:rRNA from 1 species